UCCUUUAGAAUUUAAUUUAAGGUCUAACCUGCCCACUGAUUUAUUUUAAUGGCCGCAGUAAUUUGACUGUGCAAAGGUAGCAUAAUCAUUAGUUUUUUAAUUAAAAGCUUGUAUGAAGGGUUGGACGAGGUAAAAUCUGUCUCUGGAUAAUUUAAUUUAGAAUUUAACUUUUAAGUCAAAAGGCUUAAAUAAAAUUAAAAGACGAGAAGACCCUAUAGAUCUUUAUAAUUUAUUUAUUAGAUUUAAUUAGGAAUUUUUUAAAUUUUAUUAAUGUAAUUAUUUUAUUGGGGUAAUAUAAAGAUUAAAUAAAUUCUUUAUUUUUAUUUACAUUAAUUUAUGAUUUUAUGAUCCAAUUUUAUUGAUUAUAAGAUUAAGUUACCUUAGGGAUAACAGCGUAAUUUUUUUAAAGAGUUCUUAUCGAUAAAAAAGUUUGCGACCUCGAUGUUGGAUUAAAGAUUAUUUCAGGUGCAGAAGUUUGAAAAUUUUGGUCUGUUCGACCAUUAAAUCUUUACAUGAUCUGAGUUCAGACCGGCGUAAGCCAGGUCGGUUUCUAUCUUUAAUAAAUUAAAAUAUUUUAGUACGAAAGGACCAAUUAUUUAAUAAAAAAAUUAUUUUAAUUUUUGAUUAUUAUUAA
rnacentral:rRNA from 1 species